CCCCACACAAAGAUGGCGCGUGCAGAAUUUGUGAAAGCGAAAAAGAAGACGAAGGAGAAGCAAAAGAGGGACGGAACACUGCAAUGCUGGGGUGCAGCUGGAGUCCAGAAAUGAUUUUUUUCGAUGAAUUUAGGAUUUUGCCGCAGUAUACAUCUGCAGUCCCAGAAUCCUCCGCCAUUAAAUGUGCUUCCUUAGUAUGGCAAGGACUGUUGUGUCAAACCAAGGAAGGCCUCGAGGACAUGCAACUCCAAGCAGGAAGCGUGUUCCUGGCAUAACUGAAGCCGCCAUGAUCACAGCUACCACUGCUGCUGCCACGGCCACCACCAUGGCCAUCGCCUCCCACCACCUUCACCGCCCCUCCCUCGCUCUGCAGUGCACACCCGAUGCAAGCUUUCCACAGUGGCUCUCCGCCCGAAUUUGCCCAGUGGGUUCCUAGAUUACUUCUGUGUGCGAGAAUAGCCAACCAUGUAGUCUGACAAGAGGUAUUUACAACUACUUAGCCUGUUCAGCUGGAAAGAAAUCAAAAGAUAACACUGAAUCCUGAGAUGAUGUAUUGCAAAUCAAAAGUCCCAAUCCAUAAAUAGCCACUUGAUGAGCUGCUAAAUGAAAAGCUGAUCUGAUUAUUGUCCAGUGUUCUCACGUUGUCAGGAAGAAAUAUUUUUAACAGAACUUCUUAGGGAAAUUGGGACUUACUAUUCAUAAAUGCAUGGAAUAUUAUUUAGUCUUACCUUUCUGCUGGGAGAGGUUUCUUCCCAAGGAGAUUCGGAUAUAGAGUCCAGAGGAGACCACACCCUCGUUUCACAGCUUAUUUUCUACUGUCUCUGUUUACGUUUAAGUUGGAUUGAUUAACAGCCACAAUUAUACAUUAAUUUAAGGGACCUAAUCAAAAGAAGCCAGUCACUCACUCCCCUCUCUCUAAAGGAAGCUCAUUGUCUUAGUGCUCAAUAAAUGUUUAAUUAGUGGAUUUGAUAGUUAACUAUCCAAAAAGUGAAUGGGCCUCCUUUCCAGUGCUGACUUGACUAAUGUUUCUGUUGGAAGCGCACAAUCUGAGCAUUUUUUCUGUGCCUAAAGGUGAUUCAAAAGUGUAUGUUUUAGUGAAGGGGCGCUUUUACAUUUCAGGUUCCAUGUAGUCACUGCUUGAUACGCCAAUGGUCUAAUAUCAUGACAAGUAAUACUUCCUCUGUUAAACCAGCUGGAGACACUUUGGGUUUCUAGGCACAGAGCCUGAAAUUUAGAACCAUUUGUCUUCUGCAUUUUUGUUGUUGUUGUUGUUGCUGUUGUUUAAUGCAGUCUUUUGCAUUAAAAUGGAUUAAUUUAUGUCAAACCCCAAUGAUCAGCUCUAGAAGAAAAAGGUGUAAAAAGAUAACCAAGUGUUUUUAUGAAACAUAUUGCCCAAGGUCAAUUUUGAAAAAAGCAAUUUGACAAAAACCACUUAUUUCACCAGCUCAUCAGGUAUUUUGAUGCUUCUGUUUCUCCUUGGCUUAAUGUUAGCAUUUGUCUUCAUUUCACAGAAGUUAUUCAUGUCAUAUCUUCGGUGAGACAAUUGGGACAAUUUCUGUUGUUUGAGAGAAGCAAAUAAAAAUUCUGAGCAAUCUGUUACAUUCAACAAAUUUUUCUAAAUGCUAGUUACCCACUAAUUCUUCAGUACACUUCAAUUUGAUGGGAAAGACAGCUUACUGUAUUGUUGCAAAUUUUACAUUUCCUUUAAUAACAUUGUGUUUGCUUACAGCAUUAGCAGGGAUUUAAAAAUCUUAAUUCCAAAUUUAGAUCAAGAUAUCUAAGUGAUAGAAAACGCUUCAAUUAUCUCGGCAUCCGAAUAAAGAAAAAUACAAACAUACAAGAGUUUAUCCCUUAGAUGCUCGAAUGGUGCAAAUGUGUCUUA